GCGUUGAAACACCGGUUCCCGUACGAUUCACCAAAGUUAAGCAACGUCGAGCCUGGUCAUUACCUAGAAGGGUGAUCGCUUAGGAAUACCAGGUGCUGUAAG